rnacentral:rRNA from 1 species
AGUUGGUGGAGUGAUUUGUCUGGUUAAUUCCGUUAACGAACGAGACCUUAACCUACUAAAUAGUUACGUCAUUUCCGAAUGACGGAUAACUUCUUAGAGGGACUGCUAGGCGUUAUCAAGCCAGCGGAAGUUUGAGGCAAUAACAGG